UGUUGUCAUUUCUCUAGAAACUUCUUACUUUCAUUUACUCCUUAGGCUGGGAGAUCAAAACUCAGAAAACAAAAACUCACUCAUCUCCCUCCUCACUCUCUCUCACUGACUCUCUUGCUAUCCUCAUCAUGCUCGGCUUCCUCCUCUCUGUUCACAAGCACCGUUGAGCAUCCGACCGCCACUCCUUCGUCUCCUCUCUCCCGCCGCUUAUACUAUUGUUGUUGUCGUUGUUGGGCGUUGUUGUUGUUGUGGAUAAAAGAGAUCUUGCCCCUCUCUUAUUCUCCCUCCAUCUUCUCUUUCGCCGCCGCCGCCGGUGGUGGCCUCCGACCCACCGUCUCUCACUCCAUCGUCGAAUGGUAAUUGAUUUUAACUCCUUCCUUAAUUGAUUGAUUAAAUUGAUUUAAGAACAUAAACCCUAAAUCACAUAUUUUCUCUCUCUUCUUGUUGUUUGGGUGCGCCGCCCUCCCUAUUCCGGCGGCCGCUGCUGUGGUGGCUGGAGUUGUUGGCUGGUGUUGUUUCUCUUGCUAAAGGUAUCAUCUACACUCUACCUCACUCCUCCGCUCUCCCCUACCGUGUCUCUCCUCCUUGAUCGUCGAAGCUCCACGACGGCUGCCAGAGCUGCGGCCGUUGUCGUUGAUGUUGAUGGAGUUGUUAAUUCCCUGAGGUUGAUCUCUUCCAUUCCACCUCACUCCUCCAUUUAAAUUUAAGGAGUUAAGAUGUUUUGCAGGUAACAGGAAUCGAGUCUAAGUCCAUGUUGAAGGUGCCUAGAGCUCUCCAAGUUCCCUAGUAUGUCAAGGCAGGGUUAUAAAUUAUCUAAGUGUGAUUUCUUCGGUCUCGAGUUUAUUAAUGUGUUGUAUUAUUCCUCUUAAGAGUUUAAUUUAUAAAUUAUGGAUUCAAGUUAUGGUUUGGGUUGUAAUUAAGCAAGAUAUUUGAGUUAAAUUUUCUUAACUUAA